UCCCUGGCAGUCUAGUGGUUAAGACUCAGCACUUUCACUGCUGUGGGCCUGGGUUCAAUUCCUGGUCAGGGAA